UACGGAGGGUGCGAGCGUUAAUCGGAAUUACUGGGCGUAAAGAGCACGUAGGCGGCCAGAUAAGUCAGAUGUGAAAGCCCAGGGCUCAACCCUGGAAGUGCAUUUGAAACUGUCUGGCUUGAGUGCGGGAGAGGAAAGCGGAAUUCCCAGUGUAGAGGUGAAAUUCGUAGAUAUUGGGAGGAACACCGGUGGCGAAGGCGGCUUUCUGGACCGACACUGACGCUGAGGCGCGAAAGCGUGGGGAGCAAACAGG
rnacentral:rRNA from 1 species